rnacentral:lncRNA from 1 species
GGACCCCCUCUUAGGCAGUCAGUGGGCCCCAACUUAUGAAAAUUUCUGGAUCUGCCACUGAUUGUGUGAUAAAGUGCUUUUUAAUGUACUGGAAAUAAAUAAGAAAUAUCUCUUUAUUUUUAAUUCACUCAAACACCAUACUAAUUUUUUAUUUAAACAAUAUAAAAAAGACUUGCACUUCAUUCAGCAAUUUUCUUUGUCAUUUGUUUUUUUCAACAUUCUACUCCAUUAAUAACAAA